UCGGUUGAUCCUGCCGGAUCCGACUGCUAUCCGGGUAAGACUAAGCCAUGCAAGUUGAAUGGAACUGCUAGUUCCAUAGCAAACUGCUCAGUAACAAGUGAUCAACUUACCCUUCAGUGGGGCAUAACCUCGGGAAACUGAGGCUAAUUCCCCAUAGUUGGAACAGCCUGGAACGGUUGUCCAUCGAAAGAUAUUCCUAAUUGUGGGAUGUUCGCUGAAGGAUAGGAUCGCUCUCGAUUACGGUUGUUGGUGAGGUAAUGGCUCACCAAGCCUAUGAUCGAUAAGGGCCGUGAGAGCGGUAGCCCUGAGAUGGGUACUGAGACAAUGACCCAGGCCUUACGAGGCGCAGCAGGCGCGAAACCUUUACAAUGCACGAAAGUGUGAUAAGGUUACCCGGAGUGCUCAGAGAUGAACUUUGAGCUGUUAUAGGUGUGUAAAAAACCCUAUGAGAAAGGAGAGGGCAAGGCUGGUGCCAGCCGCCGCGGUAAAACCAGCUCUUCAAGUAGUCGGGAGUAUUAUUGGGCUUAAAGCGUCCGUAGCCGGUCUGGUAAGUUCCUGGUUAAAUCUGGCAGCUUAACUGUCAGUCAGCUAGGAAUACUACCUUACUAGAGGGCGGGAAAGGUGUGAGGUACUCCGGGGGUAGCGGUGAAAUGCGAUAAUCCUCGGGGGANCACCAGUGGCGAAGGCGUCAUACUGGAACGCGCCUGACGGUGAGGGACGAAAGCCAGGGGAGCGAACGGGAUUAGAUACCCCGGUAGUCCUGGNCGUAAACGAUGCGUGCUAGGUGUUGGUAGGGCUUUGAGCCGUACCAGUGCCGUAGGGAANCUGUUAAGCGCGCCGCCUGGGAAGUACGCUCGCAAGGGNGAAACUUNANGGAAUUGGCGGG
rnacentral:rRNA from 1 species